rnacentral:rRNA from 1 species
UACGUAGGGUGCAAGCGUUGUCCGGAAUUAUUGGGCGUAAAGAGCUCGUAGGCGGUCUGUUGCGUCGGCUGUGAAAACCCGGGGCUCAACUCCGGGCCUGCAGUCGAUACGGGCUGGCUUGAGUGCGGUAGGGGAGACUGGAAUUCCUGGUGUAGCGGUGAAAUGCGUAGAUAUCUGGAGGAACACCGGUGGCGAAGGCGGCAUCCUGGACCGAGAUUGACGCUGAUGCGCGAAAGCCAGGGGAGCAAACGGG